CCGCCCGUGCCCACACGACCACGAAACGUCGAGAGUCUGUCGCUGUUUCCAUUGUGCCGCGACGAUGUUGGAAGGAGAAGAGGGAGAGAGGAGGAAGAGGACCGGCACGAUGCAUUCAGGACAGCAAGUGCGGUCGCUCGGAUUUCCUGCGGGUGCUGCCGGUGCGCUUGGGUCAGCGAGCGUUUGUGCGUGCGUCCCCCAGCUGUCCUCUGCAGUGAGGCGGCGAUCCAUUAUAGCUCACAGUGCACCGAAUGAAGGACAGGCGUUAGCAGCGAUGUUCUUUCGUCACCCCAAGUGUCAGCUGAAAUUACAUCAAGACACUUCACGAUAAGCCGUGUAUAGAUGUCUUCCUUCUUGAUCGAGUUAGGGAGAAAGAAAGCAGACAGCUCGACCCACCCCUCUUUCUGUCUAGGAACCAGCGACCUUGUUUUGGAGAUUUCUCUGACGAUAAUGGGGAGGAAGUAGCAUGCCCUUUCAGGCAGGCUGCGAUUGUAAAACGCGCUGGCUGUCGUUUCUCCAUCAUGAUAACGCUUAGGCAGCUUUUCCCCAACGGACAACUCUUCUCACUCUUCC